UUUAUCCACCGUGCUCUCCCUUGGCAUUCUAGAUUUCCUCUCUUCCGAAGGCCACAUCUUUUCAUUGGGCUCAAACUCUCUUGAAGUAAUCAGUCAUUUUCUCGAAAGACCUCGGAAGGCUUUAAAGAUCUCUCCCACUAAGCCUCCUCUCGAUCCAUCCAUUAAUAGCAAGACCUCGACACCAAUGUCACCACCUCCCAAGCCCUUCUAUCAAUUCAUUAAGUAUAUAUCUUUUGAGAAUCUUGCCGGAUUUUUGAAUCCUGAGAUCAAGAUUAAGGUUUAUUUUUUAAUUAAAUUUUGUUAUGGAUAGCCAACAUGUGGCCAAUCUUAUAGAAGGUGAACAUGACUCAUUAACACCUAUUCAAGAUGGGGAUGCAAGAUCAACUCCUAUUCUAUCACCAAUGGAUGGAAAUCAUGGAUUUUAUACCUCAACUACAAGUUCAAAUGCUACUCCAAUUACAAAUUUAGUUUGCCCAACAUCUUCAGUGAAUGAUGAUGAUGAUGAUGAUGAUGAUGAUGAUGAUACCACUUACAAUUGCAAAAGAUUAAAAUCGGCUAUGUGGGAACACGUCACAAAACAGGAAAUUCGUAGAGAGUGGAAAACAAUAUGUAAUUAAUUGUUGUAAGAGAAUGUUUGGUGGAAAAUCUAAAAAUGGAACCACUCA